AGCAGCCGCGGUAAUUCCAGCUCCAAUAGCGUAUAUUAAAGUUGUUGCAGUUAAAAAGCUCGUAGUUGAAUUUCGGGAUCAGUUGAUCGGUCGUGCCUCGGUACGUACUGGUCAAAUUGAUUCCUACCUUCUGACGAACCACGAUGUCAUUAAUUUGGUGUCGUGGGAAAUCAGGACUGUUACUUUGAAAAAUUAGAGUGUUUAAAGCAGGCUCGCGCUUGAAUACAUUAGCAUGGAAUAAUGAAAUAGGACGUUUGAUUCUAUUUUGUUGGUUUCUAGGAUCGACGUAAUGAUUAAUAGGGAUAGUUGGGGGCAUUAGUAUUCAAUUGUCAGAGGUGAAAUUCUUGGAUUUAUUGAAGACUAACUACUGCGAAAGCAUUUGCCAAGGAUGUUUUCAUUAAUCAAGAACGAAAGUUAGGGGAUCGAAGACGAUCAGAUACCGUCGUAGUCUUAACCAUAAACUAUGCCGACUAGGGAUCGGAUGAUGUUAAUUUUUUAAUGAACUCA
rnacentral:rRNA from 1 species